UACAGAGGUCUCAAGCGUUGUUCGGAUUCAUUGGGCGUAAAGGGUGCGUAGGCGGCGCGGUAAGUCGGGUGUGAAAUCUCGGAGCUUAACUCCGAAACUGCAUUCGAUACUGCCGUGCUUGAGGACUGGAGAGGAGACUGGAAUUCCUGGUGUAGCGGUGAAAUGCGCAGAUAUCAGGAGGAACACCGAUGGCGAAGGCAGGUCUCUGGGCCACUACUGACGCUGAGGAGCGAAAGCGUGGGGAGCGAACAGG
rnacentral:rRNA from 1 species